GAGAAAGAUGACAAAAUGUCAGACUGUGUUGCAGAGAAGAAAGAUAAAACUUCUGAUGUUGAUGCUGUGAAAAGUGAUGACCCAACUGAAGAUGGAAAAGCAGAAGAUGCUCCUGCUGAUGUGUCUGCGGCUGACAAAAAUGUUGGAGAUGCUUUCAUGGUGAAAGAGGUGCCAAUUGGGAAAGCAGCGGAUGAAGCUGAAGCAACUGAUAACGGUGUCAACACCGAUGAGAUUAACCCUUGAAUAGUGACAUGGAGCCAUUCUCUGCUACCCUCGUACCCUGCUCUCUUAUUCUCUCUAACCUCUUACCCUUGUUACUUUUCUCUAGUGACUGUAGUGUUGUUGUCAAUGGUAGUACUCUCAGACUGUUCAUGAGAUAUCUGUAUGUAAUAUUGUAGAUAUAGG
rnacentral:misc_RNA from 1 species